rnacentral:lncRNA from 1 species
UUUUGUCUCUCGCUUCUUGGAUUCAAACGAACGUAAAUACUACGAAUAUAUAUAUAUAUAUGUAUGUAUAUAUUUCGUGUGCUUUGUUUGGCGCGCGAGUUUCGAACGUGUUGCUGGCAAAUAAACGAGGAACUGUGUAAAAAAAAUACUUGGGAAGAGCAGAAAAUUCCAGACCGAUCAAUAUCUCGAAUUUCACGAGUGGGAAUAAUAAACAUAUGCACGAUCUUAAGCGUAAAGAUACUUCUACUCAAUUUCUCCUUCUUCUUCUUGUCACGAGACGAGAAAGAAAAAAAAAACCCUGCAAUGAGUUCCACUAAAUUACACAGAGAUGCGAUAAUGGUAACGGAGGUAACGAGAGAAACAACGAGAGAUGGCGGUAGAGAAGUAAAAACUGAAACGAUUUUAUCGAAACGUAUCCUGCGCGCGCAGGUUUCUUCCGCUUUCGCGACAAAGCGUAAGUGCGCGCGCCGCGGAAACCGGCGUAAUAAUUGGAGAACGAGAAGAUGUACGGCCGACCGAGUACCGCUAUUCCGGCUGACCGGAAUCACUGCUCUGGAACACCACGGUCUUCUCUCCCUCUCUUCUCUUCUCUCUCUCCUCUUCAAUCUCGAAAACCUGCGCGUCAACGUGCUCGCAGGAGAAACACGUGCUACUGGCUAACACCUGUUCCAUGGCUCGGACGCUUUUUCCACGAGUGGAUUUUCAAUCCUUGAUCCUGACUCGAGAAUUGAGUCGGUGAUAGAGAGCGGAAAUUCCGGAAUGGAAAUAAUUUCGAAGAUAAAACUUCCGUUUUAUAACCAGUACGAAGGUCGACAGAAAUAUAAAAUGGUUCAUGGUUCGAUACUUUAUGACCCCUUUGUGAUUUGUAUAAAUUUGCAAUGUCAUGUAAUGAUAGAAGGGAUCACUUAAUUUUAAACUCGAGCCUUUGAAAGCCUUUGUGUUAAGGUAUGUACUUAUGAAUCAUACAAACCUAACCUAAACGUAUCGCAAUAACAUUUUAGGUUUUCUGUUUUUCAUUAUUCUAACGAUAAUAAUUUACAUUAAAUAUUUAAUGAAACACAAUUUGGACAACUACUUACUAGUAAGUAUCCAAAAUAUUCCUAAAUUUUCACUGAAAUCACUCGCUACUUCUUCAUUAUUUACAUUUUGAUUCAGCAUUUAAGAAAUACACAAUAACAUCGAGCAUCGAACAAAUGAACGUUUUGCCAUUCCUUGCGCAUACUUUUCCUUAUCUGCAUGAUUUAUCGACAAAUUUAAUUUACCACCGGCACGUGACCAUUAUUCACCUCGUAACAAGCGGUACUCCACGACAUAAGGAACAUUGAAACGCAAAACGGUCAGUUACGAAGAGGACAAUGGAAGCCUUACGAGGAACACCAUGAAGAAAGGAAGGGACGUCGUGAAGAUAUUUUGGCUAUAGUCUAUGCACAUUUCUCUCGAUUUCUUAAGGCAACACGAGGUCAAUAAUUCCUCUGUUAUGAUACGUAUAUAUCUGAUGAACUCACCCUCUAUACAUCAAGAUAUUUUAUUUUUGUAACAGCUUGAAUAUUGAAGUAUUACUAAAUGAUAAUUAAUUGGUAUACAAAUAUUACAAUACAAAAGAUUGAUUCUAGAGGCCAAAAUAAAUACAAACAUUGUUUAUUCAUUAAGUUAUAAGCAAUUAAAGGCAAAGAUGAAAUGAGAUAACUGUCUUCAUUCUUCUAAUGCAAAUUUCAAUUGUUUAAUAAAUUUUAACUCACAUUUUUGUUUUGAUGUUCUAUGAAUAUGUUCUAGAAAUAUACAGCAGACGAUAAAUAUGUAACAAGCGUGACACGAAUAACCUAUAACCCAAUAUGAAUAAACAUAAAUACAAUCAGUGUCUAGAAUCCCCUGGUGUAACCAGUCUUAAGGGUUACAAUAUUCGAAUGAGUCAAUCAACGAAUAAAAUUUCGAUCGAAACGAAGGCCUGAAGAAGAAGGAAAACUUAUCUAAAUGAGGGUCCGGCUCAGCUUCAACAAGGAACUGCGACAAGUUUCACUGGGCCCAUAAGAAAAAAGCAGAGAAUGUCGAAGGCCUUGUUAACAGGAUCUACGCGUAUUCAUUUCUGCCAUAUCAUUUUCAACCUUCGAUUACGUCUCUCGACAUAGUUACUAUUCCAAUCGUCUUCUCAUCCUAUCUUUUGACACUGAUUUAUAUACACCAAUGUGUGUUUAAUCAAACUGAUUACCACUCGAGUGAUAAUUUUAAAAAAUACACAUGACUUAUUGCUCUUUUUUUAAUUAAAAUGUUUUAUCUCAUGCUUUUUCU